CGUUAAAAGUUUCAUCUAUUUGUACUCUUAAAAAUUGGUGUGGUUGACGGAAUAACCAGAUAGUAACACAUGUUGUGCCACAUGUACUUUAUGUUGAUGUAGAGGAAUCAGUUUUAAUCAGUAGAAAUAGAUACAAGGGUUAAUU
rnacentral:pre_miRNA from 1 species